rnacentral:rRNA from 1 species
AACGAACGCUGGCGGCAGGCCUAACACAUGCAAGUCGAGCGAAAACUUCGGUCCUAGCGGCGGACGGGUGGGUAACAAGUGGGAACGUGCACUUUGCUUAGGAAUAGCCCUGGGAAAGUGGGAUUAAUACAGGAGGAGCCAUUAGGGGGAAAGAGUUAUCGGCGCAGGAUCGGGCCGCGUUGGAUUAGGUGGUUGGUGGGGUAAUGGCCUACCAAGCGGACGAUCCAUAGCUGGUGGGAGAGGAUGGUCAGCCAGAAUGGAACUGAGACACGGCCCAGUCUCGGACGGGAGGGUGCAGUGGGGUAUCCUAUGCGAGGGAGCAAGCUCUAACCAAGCCAUGCCGCGUGUGCGAGGAAGGGCUUAGUGUUGUGAAUCUGUUUCUGCUGGGAAGAUAAUGACGGUAACAGCAGAAGAAGCCCCGGCUAACUCCGUG